rnacentral:rRNA from 1 species
GACGAACGCUGGCGGCGUGCUUAACACAUGCAAGUCGAACGGAAAGGCCCUGCUUUUGUGGGGUGCUCGAGUGGCGAACGGGUGAGUAACACGUGAGUAACCUGCCCUUGACUUUGGGAUAACUUCAGGAAACUGGGGCUAAUACCGGAUAGGAGCUCCUGCUGCAUGGUGGGGGUUGGUAAGUUUCGGCGGUUGGGGAUGGACUCGCGGCUUAUCAGCUUGUUGGUGGGGUAGUGGCUUACCAAGGCUUUGACGGGUAGCCGGCCUGAGAGGGUGACCGGCCACAUUGGGACUGAGAUACGGCCCAGACUCCUACGGGAGGCAGCAGUGGGGAAUAUUGCACAAUGGGCGGAAGCCUGAUGCAGCAACGCCGCGUGCGUGAUGACGGCCUUCGGGUUGUAAACCGCUUUCGCCUGUGACGAAGCGUGAGUGACGGUAAUGGGUAAAGAAGCACCGGCUAACUACGUG